UACGAAGGGGGCUAGCGUUGCUCGGAAUCACUGGGCGUAAAGGGUGCGUAGGCGGGUCUUUAAGUCAGGGGUGAAAUCCUGGAGCUCAACUCCAGAACUGCCUUUGAUACUGAAGAUCUUGAGUUCGGGAGAGGUGAGUGGAACUGCGAGUGUAGAGGUGAAAUUCGUAGAUAUUCGCAAGAACACCAGUGGCGAAGGCGGCUCACUGGCCCGAUACUGACGCUGAGGCACGAAAGCGUGGGGAGCAACCGG
rnacentral:rRNA from 1 species